rnacentral:rRNA from 1 species
GUUGUUCGGAAUUACUGGGCGUAAAGGGCUCGUAGGCGGCCAACUAAGUCAGACGUGAAAUCCCUCGGCUUAACCGGGGAACUGCAUCUGAUACUGGAUGGCUUGAGAUUGGGAGAGGGAUGCGGAAUUCCAGGUGUAGCGGUGAAAUGCGUAGAUAUCUGGAGGAACACCGGUGGCGAAGGCGGGUCUCUGGGCCGAGACUGACGCUGAGGAGCGAAAGCGUGGGGAGCGAACAGG